GAUGAACGCUGGCGGCGUGCCUAAUACAUGCAAGUCGAGCGAACAGAUGAGGAGCUUGCUCCUCUGACGUUAGCGGCGGACGGGUGAGUAACACGUGGAUAACCUACCUAUAAGACUGGGAUAACUUCGGGAAACCGGGGCUAAUACCGGAUAAUAUAUUGAACCGCAUGGUUCAAUAGUGAAAGACGGUUUUGCUGUCACUUAUAGAUGGAUCCGCGCCGCAUUAGCUAGUUGGUAAGGUAACGGCUUACCAAGGCAACGAUGCGUAGCCGACCUGAGAGGGUGAUCGGCCACACUGGAACUGAGACACGGUCCAGACUCCUACGGGAGGCAGCAGUAGGGAAUCUUCCGCAAUGAGCGAAAGCCUGACGGAGCAACGCCGCGUGAGUGAUGAAGGUCUUCGGAUCGUAAAACUCUGUUAUUAGGGAAGAACAAAUGUGUAAGUAACUAUGCACGUCUUGACGGUACCUAAUCAGAAAGCCACAGCUAACUACGUG
rnacentral:rRNA from 1 species